rnacentral:rRNA from 1 species
AGACGUCUACAUUAGAUACCCGGUAGUCCCAGCCGUAAACUAUGCGCGUUAGGUGUAUCGGUGACCACGAGUUACCGAGGUGCCGAAGGGAAACCGUGAAACGUGCCGCCUGGGAAGUACGGUCGCAAGGCUGAAACUUAAAGGAAUUGGCGGGGGAGCACCACAACAGGUGGAGCCUGCGGUUUAAUUGGACUCAACGCCGGGAAGCUCACCGGAUAGGACAGCAGAAUGAUUGCCGGGCUGAAGACCCUGCAUGACUAGCUG